CCAAAAUUAGAGAUCACUCCCAAGUCGUAACCUUAGGUCAUUGUUUAUUCAUAAAACAUCGGAAUAUUUCAGUGAUGAGUUUAUAAUAAAUACAGCUGGACCUGUUUGAUGGCUUCAAUGACCUCAGCAAGAAAAGCGAAUGCCCUUGUGACAUCACCAAAGGCGUAACUAGACAACAGCUGUUGUAGAAGAACACCUCUCAUGAGGCUUUAUAAAUCUACAGGCUGACAAAACAUCAAUGGGACGUAUAGUACUACAACUGCCGGAGAGCAAAUUAUUGACUAAACUGGAAUUAAAGGGACACUAAGGACUAAAACUGUGUCAUCUUAAUGUAGUGGUUUUGGUGUAUAGGUGGUGUCCAUUUACUUUUGGAGAAACACAGUUUUUGCCAAAGUAGAGGUGCUUUCUCAUAAGACCUUUAAUGUUCCAUGGUUUUCUUGUCCUAAAUCCCGCGGAGACUGUUGCGCAUGCACUCUGCAAGACGCUUUAGUUUAGAAAGGGAUUGUCAGUCCCGAUGAUCUCACAGAAACCGGAGCGGCUGCUGUAAAGGGGACAAUUCUGGUUCCGGACUACAGACAAGCGAUUGAAGGGUUUUGUAGUAUUUUCAUUGUUCUUUUAAAAUUUUAUUUUAAUUUAUAAAAGAGGAUUCCGGAAUAGAAAGACAGCAAGUUACACGCACACACAAAUUCAAAAUAAUGAUAUUAAUAUUUAACGUUCCAUUAUGUAAUAAUGUCAUCUGUUACCGUUCAGUAAUGGUUGUUGGGGGUAGAUUCUUUACAAUUGGGUUUUCCAGGGAAUAAUGUAAGGAAUUGGCAGGUGCCUGGGAUUCCUGAGACUCAGUAUUGAUAAAACACAAACCGGUAUAUCUGUACCACCAACUGAACGUAGGAAAUGCUAAGAUUUACCGAGAUAUCACUAAGGGAACCUGGCAUAGCAGGUGUACCUAAAUUGACAACCAUGUCCCAGGAGUACUCUUCAAUGUACGUAGAACAGAUCCUUCCUGACUCGUCAAACUGUCACAGAACGUGACAAAAUCACCAGAGAAUUUUCUUCAUGUCACCAAGACUGGCCAAGAUUGCUGGUGUCAGAGCAGGGAGUUCGCACUAGGAGUCUAAACAGUGAGCUGCGGUGAUGGGAGCGUUUUCUUUAACUCUGUUAAGGUCACCCCAUCAAAAUCCAUGUGGGCCUAGUUACUGAUCAUUAAAAAGUGGACUCAAUUGAAAGACAAAUUCUAAAAUAUAUCAAAGAAAUAGGCAAGCAGAGAUUGAAACGGAUUUGUUACCCAAAAUUUUAGAAUUCAUGUUUUAAUUUCUUCCUAUUUGAUGUUUACAGAAUACGCUUUACAUUUCAGGGUAUUACCAUAGCCCACCCUACGCGUGUACCUCAAGAAGCAUCACAAAGCUAGCAUAGCAAGUUAUACCUGCAGCAAGGGGGGGGGGGGGGGGGGGGGUUCUGCAAUGUAGGACAUACUGGAUUUAUAAUCUUUGAGUUCUAGGGAGAAAAGAACCACUGGCUCUGUUUUACAGUAAUGGAUCAAAUCAUUUUGCAUAGGUUUGCUCUCUUACCUGAAUCCCUGCUAGGCGCCCACUGUCGGACUGCCAGGCGCCAACAGAAGGCGUAACUAUCCUGCCGGCCAUUCUGUGUCAGAGCGUCAGCAAACAUCUCUCAAUGAAUGCAGUUCUGUGCAAAGCAAUAUACGUAGACUUAACAGUAGCCAGCCUGGGCUGGUGUUAAACCUCCGGCAUCAAAAGGAUUAAACUGCGCAUGUGCAGAAUUUCAGACUUCAAAUCACUGAAGUGGUCAUGGUGUUCGGUGUAACCCUUUAAUCUGUAUAAUAUGUGUAUAUUUGUUUGUAGUUACUGUGUAAUGAUAAGAUGAAAUCAGCUCGUUAUAGGGUGCGGUUACCUAUUUUACUGCUAAAUGGGGUCCUAUCUGAACCUCUCAGAUAAUAUGUGACACGGACUGGGACAUCCAAAACAGACUGCAAGCUUUGCUGCCUAACUGUUUAUAUCAACAGUCCAUUCCUUCUCUUUACAUGUCAUAAAGCAUUGGCACAUACAAGCUCUAAAAUGCUCACUUCUCCAUAUCCACUGUAAAUAAACAGGUCAGGCACUUUUAGUGAGAAAAUCACUGCUGUCACCAGGCCCUGGAGUAAUGAACGCAGCAUAAAUGUAAAACCAGGUAAGACUCCUGGUGAAUGAGAGCGCAGUGUGAAGGGCAGGGAGAGACAUCUCUAGCCACACUUACUAUAAAUUAAAACUGUCUAAUCGGGUAUUGAAGAUGUUACUCAGCAUCUACAGCUGGGUUUAUAGGAACUGGAGAGACAGGAAACUCCCUCCCUCUUCCAGUGCUAUUUCAGGGUUAAACUGCUUGUGAUGAGUUGUGGUUUCCGGGUGGUUCUUUAAGAUCUACCAAGUCACAAGUAGAUUGUGUACGACAGCAUGCGCCAAGCUGGGCUACAGAGACAGGCGGCUGCAGGUGCACAACACAAAUAUUUACUCUGUAUUCUACAAUAAGCAAUGACCGAGAAUCCUGCAAAUCCUUAGGAAAUCACAUACACCCCCACUUUUAUAUUACUUUCUACUGAUGUGCUGAACAAGGAAGAAUUCAAUGGGUUAAAGUUUGGGAAAUUCAAAAUUUUGAGUGGGUCUAAAAUGCAUUAGUUAGGCCAUGCCAGAGUCUAUAAUGAACCAUUAGUUCUGAAAUUCAACAGACGUACUCUCGAAUUAAG